rnacentral:rRNA from 1 species
GUUUGAUCCUGGCUCUCGGAUGAACGCUAGCGGCAGGCUUAACACAUGCAAGUCGAGGGGCAGCACGACACGGAGAUUCGUCGAAGUGUUGAUGGCGACCGGCGCAAGGGUGCGUAACGCGUGAGCAACUUGCCCGUUUCAGGGGGAUAACCGUUGGAAACGACGACUAAUACCCCAUAGUAUCAUUUUAAGGCAUCUUUUAAUGAUUAAAGAACUUCGGAAACGGAUAGGCUCGCGUGACAUUAGCUAGAUGGCGGGGUAACGGCCCACCAUGGCGACGAUGUCUAGGGGUUCUGAGAGGAAGGUCCCCCACCUUGGAACUGAAACACGGCCAGACUCCUCCGGGAGGCAGCAGGGAGAAAAUUUGGUCAAGGGGUCA